GAUGAACGCUGGCGGCGUGCCUAAUACAUGCAAGUCGAGCGAACGGACGAGAAGCUUGCUUCUCUGAUGUUAGCGGCGGACGGGUGAGUAACACGUGGAUAACCUACCUAUAAGACUGGGAUAACUUCGGGAAACCGGAGCUAAUACCGGAUAAUAUUUUGAACCGCAUGGUUCAAAAGUGAAAGACGGUCUUGCUGUCACUUAUAGAUGGAUCCGCGCUGCAUUAGCUAGUUGGUAAGGUAACGGCUUACCAAGGCAACGAUGCAUAGCCGACCUGAGAGGGUGAUCGGCCACACUGGAACUGAGACACGGUCCAGACUCCUACGGGAGGCAGCAGUAGGGAAUCUUCCGCAAUGGGCGAAAGCCUGACGGAGCAACGCCGCGUGAGUGAUGAAGGUCUUCGGAUCGUAAAACUCUGUUAUUAGGGAAGAACAUAUGUGUAAGUAACUGUGCACAUCUUGACGGUACCUAAUCAGAAAGCCACGGCUAACUACGUGCCAGCAGCCGCGGUAAUACGUAGGUGGCAAGCGUUAUCCGGAAUUAUUGGGCGUAAAGCGCGCGUAGGCGGUUUUUUAAGUCUGAUGUGAAAGCCCACGGCUCAACCGUGGAGGGUCAUUGGAAACUGGAAAACUUGAGUGCAGAAGAGGAAAGUGGAAUUCCAUGUGUAGCGGUGAAAUGCGCAGAGAUAUGGAGGAACACCAGUGGCGAAGGCGACUUUCUGGUCUGUAACUGACGCUGAUGUGCGAAAGCGUGGGGAUCAAACAGGAUUAGAUACCCUGGUAGUCCACGCCGUAAACGAUGAGUGCUAAGUGUUAGGGGGUUUCCGCCCCUUAGUGCUGCAGUUAACGCAUUAAGCACUCCGCCUGGGGAGUACGACCGCAAGGUUGAAACUCAAAGGAAUUGACGGGGACCCGCACAAGCGGUGGAGCAUGUGGUUUAAUUCGAAGCAACGCGAAGAACCUUACCAAAUCUUGACAUCCUUUGACAACUCUAGAGAUAGAGCCUUCCCCUUCGGGGGACAAAGUGACAGGUGGUGCAUGGUUGUCGUCAGCUCGUGUCGUGAGAUGUUGGGUUAAGUCCCGCAACGAGCGCAACCCUUAAGCUUAGUUGCCAUCAUUAAGUUGGGCACUCUAAGUUGACUGCCGGUGACAAACCGGAGGAAGGUGGGGAUGACGUCAAAUCAUCAUGCCCCUUAUGAUUUGGGCUACACACGUGCUACAAUGGACAAUACAAAGGGCAGCGAAACCGCGAGGCCAAGCAAAUCCCAUAAAGUUGUUCUCAGUUCGGAUUGUAGUCUGCAACUCGACUACAUGAAGCUGGAAUCGCUAGUAAUCGUAGAUCAGCAUGCUACGGUGAAUACGUUCCCGGGUCU
rnacentral:rRNA from 1 species